AGGAUGAACGCUGGCGGCGUGCUUAACACAUGCAAGUCGAACGGUGAAGUGAGGAGCUUGCUCUUUGCGGAUCAGUGGCGAACGGGUGAGUAACACGUGAGUAACCUGCCCUUGACUCUGGGAUAAGCGUUGGAAACGACGUCUAAUACCGGAUACGACCUCCGAAGGCAUCUUCUGGAGGUGGAAAGAAUUUCGGUCAAGGAUGGACUCGCGGCCUAUCAGCUAGUUGGUGAGGUAAUGGCCCACCAAGGCGACGACGGGUAGCCGGCCUGAGAGGGUGACCGGGCCACGACUGGGACUGGAGACACGGCCCAGACUCCUACGGGAGGCAGCAGUGGGGAAUAUUGCACAAUGGGCGCAAGCCUGAUGCAGCAACGCCGCGUGAGGGACGACGGCCUUCGGGUUGUAACCUCUUUAGUAGGGAAGAAGCCGCAAGGUGACGGUACCUGCAGAAAAGCACCGGCUAACUACGUGCCAGCAGCCGC
rnacentral:rRNA from 1 species